CCCCUCUUGGGGUCGCACCUGUAGACUUUCCAGUGCUCUACCAGUCUCGACUACAGAGGGAGAGUCGAGCAGAGCCCUACCCAUUUCAUUCUUAGCUUGGACAGUAGCUAGUGAAUGGAAGGCAAUCUGCUACAAGU